UACGUAGGGGGCAAGCGUUGUCCGGAAUCAUUGGGCGUAAAGCGCGUGUAGGCGGCCUUGUAAGUCCGUUCUGAAAGCCCGGGGCUCAACCCCGGGAGGCGGAUGGAUACUGCAAGGCUCGAGUCCGGAAGAGGCGAGUGGAAUUCCCGGUGUAGCGGUGAAAUGUGUAGAGAUCGGGAAGAACACCGGUGGCGAAGGCGGCGACCUGGUCCAUUACUGACGCUGAGGCGCGACAGCGUGGGGAGCAAACAGG
rnacentral:rRNA from 1 species